rnacentral:rRNA from 1 species
CAAGCCUGAUCCAGCCAUGCCGCGUGGGUGAAGAAGGCCUUCGGGUUGUAAAGCCCUUUUGUUGGGAAAGAAAAGCAGCCGGCCAAUACCCGGUUGUUCUGACGGUACCAAAAGAAUAAGCACCGGCUAACUUCGUGCCAGCAGCCGCGGUAAUACGAAGGGUGCAAGCGUUACUCGGAAUCACUGGGCGUAAAGCGCACGUAGGCGGAUUGUUAAGUCAGGGGUGAAAGCCUGGAGCUCAACUCCAGAACUGCCCUUGAUACUGGCAAUCUCGAGUCCGGAAGAGGUAAGUGGAACUGCGAGUGUAGAGGUGAAAUUCGUAGAUAUUCGCAAGAACACCAGUGGCGAAGGCGGCUUACUGGUCCGGUACUGACGCUGAGGUGCGAAAGCGUGGGGAGCAAACA